UUACCUUGAAGUCUAGAGG
rnacentral:misc_RNA from 1 species